rnacentral:rRNA from 1 species
GACGAACGCUGGCGGCGUGCUUAACACAUGCAAGUCGAGCGGAAAGGCCUCUUCGGGGGUACUCGAGCGGCGAACGGGUGAGUAACACGUGAGUAAUCUGCCCUUCACUCUGGGAUAGCCACCGGAAACGGUGAUUAAUACCGGAUACGACACGUCCAGGCAUCUGGUGCGUGUGGAAACUUUUUGGGUGGGGGAUGUGCUCGCGGCCUAUCAGCUUGGUGGUGGGGUAAUGGCCUACCAAGGCUUCGACGGGUAGCCGGCCUGAGAGGGUGACCGGCCACACUGGGACUGAGACACGGCCCAGACUCCUACGGGAGGCAGCAGUGGGGAAUAUUGGACAAUGGGCGGAAGCCUGAUCCAGCAACGCCGCGUGAGGGAUGACGGCCUUCGGGUCGUAAACCUCUUUCAGCACCGACGAAGCGAUCCUUUGGGGAGUGACGGUAGGUGCAGAAGAAGGACCGGCCAACUACGUGCCAGCGGCCGCGGUAAUAC